UACAGAGGGGGCAAGCGUUAUUCGGAAUUAUUGGGCGUAAAGGGCGCGUAGGCGGCUUUGCAAGUGACGGGUGAAAUCCCUCGGCUUAACCGAGGAACUGCCUGUCAGACUGCAUGGCUUGAGACCGGGAGAGGUGAGUGGAAUUCCCAGUGUAGCGGUGAAAUGCGUAGAUAUUGGGAGGAACACCAGUGGCGAAGGCGGCUCACUGGACCGGUACUGACGCUGAUGCGCGAAAGCGUGGGUAGCAAACAGG
rnacentral:rRNA from 1 species